GAACGCUGGCGGCGUGCCUAACACAUGCAAGUUGAGCGGAGGUAAAUGGAGCUUGCUCUAUGAACCUUAGCAGCGAACGGGUGAGUAACACGUAGAUAAUCUGUCCUAUAUUGGGGGAUAGCCCGAUGAAAGUUGGAUUAAUACCGCAUACAGCUAUAUAGURUGCAUGAUUAUAUAGUGAAAGAUUUAUUGAUAUAGGAGGAGUCUGCGGCACAUUAGCUAGUAGGUGAGGUAAGAGCUUACCUAGGCGACGAUGUGUAGCCGGUCUGAGAGGAUGAACGGCCACAAUGGAACUGAGACACGGUCCAUACUCCUACGGGAGGCAGCAGUGGGAAUAUUGCACAAUGGGGGAAACCUGAUGCAGCAACGCCGCGUGAGUGAAGAAGGUUUUCGGAUUGUAAAGCUCUGUUAGCAGGGAAGAGGAAGGACGGUACCUGCAGAGGAAGCCACGGCUAACUACGUGCCAGCAGCCGCGGUAAUACGUAGGUGGCAAGCGUUGUUCGGAAUAACUGGGCGUAAAGGAUGCGUAGGCGGUUAAAUAAGUUAUAUGUUAAAUAUAUAGGCUUAACCUGUAGAAAGCAUAUAAAACUGUUUAACUAGAGUGCAGGAGAGGUAAGUGGAAUUCCUAGUGUAGCGGUGAAAUGCGUAGAGAUUAGGAAGAACACCAGUGGCGAAGGCGACUUACUGGACUGUAACUGACGCUGAGGCAUGAGAGCAUGGGGAGCA
rnacentral:rRNA from 1 species